UGUGUGAGCGAGUGGUUGCUGUUUACGAUGUGUUCAUAUAUCGCUUUGUAGUGCUGUAAUGUGCAAAUUAGCGGACUUUAUAGCGGCUCUCUAUUUUCCGUCGUUGUCUUUCGAGCAGCGCCUGUUGUUCCGGUAAAAAUCGAGUUGAAUGAAUCGCCACAGCCCCAACGUAUAUCGCGCAGUGUUGACCAAGACCAAGUCAAGCAGGAAUUCUGGCAUGGUAUGUGGCUGCACGAAGGAUUCCGGAAAAGAAAAACAACAACAUGGCUAAUAGGAUGUUGCUGCCCAGGGAGUCCUGGCGAAGAGGUUUACUCAUUCCAGAAGCAAGAAUUGUAUCAUUGUAAGGCGAAUGGAAAUAAACUGACAUCGACUGAGA